UACGGAGGAUGCGAGCGUUAUCCGGAUUUAUUGGGUUUAAAGGGUGUGUAGGCGGGAUGCCAAGUCAGCGGUAAAAAUGCGGUGCUCAACGCCGUCGAGCCGUUGAAACUGGCGUUCUUGAGUGGGCGAGAAGUAUGCGGAAUGCGUGGUGUAGCGGUGAAAUGCAUAGAUAUCACGCAGAACUCCGAUUGCGAAGGCCGCAUACCGGCGCCCUACUGACGCUGAGGCACGAAAGCGUGGGUAUCGAACAGG
rnacentral:rRNA from 1 species